CGGGCAGGGGUAGCGGCUGGGCGCCCGGCCGUGUCCUGGGCGCCGGCGGGCUGAGGCCCCCCUGGGUUUGGGAAGUGAGUGUCCUGGGGCGCAGAGCGGCGUCUGGGGCCGGGCGCGAGCCCCGCGGUCUGAGGUCGUGAGUCAGCCGGAGGACCGGGCUCUUCUCUCGGAGGUUUAGGGCGCGGUUCCGUCCUCGGCUGGUCUGAGGCGCGGCCCUGAGUCCGGGGUCGCCCUUGAGCGGGGCGGGGGACGCCCUCCCGGACCUCAGCCCAGAUGGCCAGCGGGCCCGGCCCCAGGAGGCCCCGGCAGCCUGAACAGAUGGAACCGCGCGGGCUAAGUAGGCAGGACCAGGUGCCCCAGUCUGAGGCUCUGCCGGUGGUCUGGUGGGCCUGUACCCGGAGGGACCCCCCUGCCGCCUGCACAUUGCUACCGGCGCGGCCUGGCCCCCCAGGGUUUCGCCGAUGCCCAGGGGCUCUUGUCCCCUGCGGCUGGGAGCCGACCUGCCGAGCCCUUUGCAUGGCCACGAGUGCCUCCUUUCCCGAAGAGCCUCUUGGACCCUGCGGCUUGCCUCUUGCAGCCCCCUGAUGACCCAGACGGGGAUACCGGCCCCUGGGAACGGGCCGAGGGAGCGUCUAGCGAGCGGGUGGCAGCGGGAGCUCACGGAGCUCCCCAGAGCCCUCCUGGAGACCCACCCGCCAGACCCAGGUAGAGCCCGCCGGCCUCCCUCUGCUGCAGGGAGACCGACUGGGGACGCAGUACCGCGCCCCUCCUACCUUCUCCCAGAGCUCCGAGAGUCUGGCCUCGUACCCUGCCCUCAGUGAGAGGACCGCAUGGACAUCCCCUGCCUGGGAGGAAGCGGGGCACCAGCCCUUGACUUGGAGGUUGCAAAGCCCCUGGGGAUGGACGUGCGGCACGAGGGGGAAACCCCAGCGGCAGCCUCUGCUGCUCCCGGCGGUCUGCUCAGACGUCCCUUGUGGAUGGACCUUGAGGACACGGUGCUUAGUGAAAUAAGCGAGACACAACUAGGAGGUCCUUGAGGAGCCCCAACCCCAGAGACAGAAAGUGGAUGGAGCUGGGACUUUAUCUUGUUCUCAGAGCCUGGCACUCAGGAGGUGCUCAAACAGUGGGUGCUGAGGAAAGAGCUGAUCUGUCCACAGCAGAUGGAGAGGAGAGACAGCCGGCGUGGGGAUGCCUGAAGCCAGCACCCUCUCCCGGGCUGUAAAUCGUGCGGAGCAGCAGCUCUCACCUGGGCUGAUUCAGCCGUCCAGGGGAUUUGGCCCUGUCUGGAGAUAUUUCUGGUCGUCAGGACCAGGGGGAAGCUGACGGUGGGGGUGCUCCCGGCAUCUAGUGGGGGAAGGUAGGGAUGUGGCCGAACACCCUACAAUGCCCAGGACAGCCCCACGACAAGGAAUCAUCUGGCCCCAAUGUCAGCCAUGCUGAGAAUGACAAACCUGGCUCCAGAGACACCUCCUCCUGGAAGCCCUCCUGGAUUCGACACACCCACUGCUCUAGCCCACCAUAGGCUCCUGCUUCCCUUCUCCCUGUCACAACACCAGGAGAGGUUCAUCAGGUGGGGUGAGCCCAAGCUGCGCCCCAGUGGGGUUGGGGCUAGGUGGCCGGUUUGCUCUGAGUGGGGGAAGGGGGCCCUGUCCCCAGUGGUGCUGAGGUUCUGUGUUUAGCGCAGUGGGUGCGGCUCAGCGCACGGAGUGCAGGUUAGGGUUGGGGCCGAGUUUGGGGCGCAAAGGGUCAGGGCCGGGGCUGGGGUGCCAUCCCACCUGGGAACUGCAUACAGUCUUUGAGGGACCCCAGGACUUGUCCCUUCUCAAGACUGGCAAUGAGCCAGGCGCAGCCCCAGCCUCAAGAAUCCCAAACCUAUAAGACCCGACACCCUGAGAUGAGUACCCACAUCCGCAUGGUUUCCUGUUUCUUCCCUAAAGUGACACCGCACGGGGGAGGGGGACACGACGUGAUGGGGUCCCCACAGGCCUCUGGCUUAGGGGUCAAGGGUUCACCUCAAAAGCAUCCUCUUGUCUAAAUGGAGUCCUGGCAGGGACCCAGCCCCACAGGAGCCCCGGAAGGACAUGACAGCGACAGGGGCAGGAAUGUGGGCCCCCUGAGGCUCAGCAGUGCCGGCCCCACCCCCACCCCAUCCUCCCCUUGCACCCCUGGCCUGGGUCCUCCGACAGGACUUGUUCCCAGACUUCCACUUCCUCGUCUUCCUGUGUCCUCGACUUGAGGUCAGCCCACUGCCCCCCAGACCCACUGCUGGGACCCUGUUCACUUUCCAUGGCAUCUUCUGAGCACCCACCCACUGUGUCACCCAUUUCCAAGGCUUGCCUGCUUCUCUCCAUCCCCAUAGCUGCUGCCCCAGGCCACCUCCUCCAGCCCCUGCGUCAGGUGACAGCACCCCGUGUCCCCACUCCCCCCUGGCCCCCAGGCAGUCCCCAGACCCCCUGCCAUCUUAUCCACCCAGUGGCCCCGGUGACCUCUCUCGGAUGCCCACCUCACAACUCCCUUCCCUACUUAAAAACAGACAAUCUCUGUCCCUCGGCAAACGUCCAGUGGCUUCAAGCCCCCACUUAGCCCAGAUCAAGGUGGACAGGGGCACUGGGGGCCCUGAAAGAACAGCAGAGUCCUACACUCAGACAUGUGCUGAGGGUCACCUGUCCGCAGGCGGGAACACAGUGCGACAGACGAGGCGGCGCCCACCUGCCAGCCCGGAGUGCAUGGUCCAGUCAUGCCCCUCCCAUCUGGUGGCUGGCCGGCCCUGUCCUGGCUGGGAGGUGGGACGUUGGGGGCUCAGAUGGGCGUCCUCCGAGUGAGAGGCAGCUCAUCAAACCUUGGGUGCGGAGGUGGCCCUUCCCAGGGUGGGGGUUUGGCAGGGGGCAACCCCCAAAUGAGAAUGGGGAGGGACUUAAGGAUCAGAGAACACGUUUUAGGAAGGAGCAGCAGGGUGUGUGAAGUGCCGAAAAGUCCCUGUAGGUACAAGGCUAAGGGCACAGCGGUUAGGGCUGCAGAGUCAGGACCCACGCUGUCUGGGUGCAAAUCCUGGCUCUGCUCUGUGAUCUUGGACGAGUUACUUAACCUCUCUGUGCUUCCAUCCUUCAUCCAUAAGGCAGCAUGGAUAAGAAAGGCAUGUAUUCUUGGGGCGGUGGUGCUCAUUAAAUGUGUUACUGCAUCUCAGACACUAAGAACUGGGCCCAGUUCAUGUUGCUACUGAAUUGACCCAUGUAACAAAAUUGUCAAUGUUGGACCAGAAUGUUACUGUGUUAUCUCAUGGAUCUUUCUGUUCCUUCUCUCUCUCCCUCCCAGUCCCUUCCCUUCCUGUCUCUCCUUCCUCCCUCCCUCCCUGUCUCCCUCCUCCCUCCCUCUCUCUCUCUCCUUCCCUCUCCCUGCCGCAGUGGGUGGUGGUUGGCAUAAUGCUUUAUGCAUCUUGGUUCAAAUCCCCACUCGGCUUGCCUCCUCC